rnacentral:rRNA from 1 species
AAUAGAUACCCGGGUAGUCCACGCCGUAAACGAUGAGUGCUAAGUGUUAGAGGGUUUCCGCCCUUUAGUGCUGCAGCUAACGCAUUAAGCACUCCGCCUGGGGAGUACGGUCGCAAGACUGAAACUCAAAGGAAUUGACGGGGGCCCGCACAAGCGGUGGAGCAUGUGGUUUAAUUCGAAGCAACGCGAAGAACCUUACCAGGUCUUGACACCCCACUGACCGGUAUAGAGAUAUACCUUUCCCUUCGGGGACAGUGGUGACAGGUGGUGCAUGGUUGUCGUCAGCUCGUGUCGUGAGAUGUUGGGUUAAGUCCCGCAACGAGCGCAACCCUUGAUCUUAGUUGCCAGCAUUUAGUUGGGCACUCUAAGGUGACUGCCGGUGACAAACCGGAGGAAGGUGGGGAUGACGUCAAAUCAUCAUGCCCCUUAUGACCUGGGCUACACACGUGCUACAAUGGAUGGUACAAAGGGCUGCAAGACUGCGAAGUCAAGCCAAUCCCAUAAAACCAUUCUCAGUUCGGAUUGCAGG